AUACUGCACAACAUAAAAAGCCAACGAUAUUAUUGCCAUUGUCCCUCGUAACAGGAGAUACGGGAAUUGAACUAUCAACGCUCUGAUUGUUGAACAAACUUGGUAUUUCACUUCCUGGAUUGACAAUACCAAUGUUAAAGAAGGCAGGGUGUUCAUUGUUCAUUUGAAUGAAUUGUGUCAUCCAUGAGAAUGUCAUUCUACUGCAUCUUUCCUUAUCACUUAUUUUAGGACAGUUGAAAAUGAACAAUCCUGCUCUCUUCCAAUAUCUGUUCUUUCGA
rnacentral:lncRNA from 1 species